CCUACGCGAGGCAGCAGUAGGGAAUAUUGCUCAAUGGGGGAAACCCUGAAGCAGCAACGCCGCGUGGAGGAUGAAGGUUUUCGGAUUGUAAACUCCUUUUAUUAGAGAAGAUAAUGACGGUAUCUAACGAAUAAGCACCGGCUAAAUUCGUGCCAGCAGCCGCGGUAAUACGAAGGUUACAAGCGUUACUCGGAAUCAGUUGGAGUAAAGAACGCGUAUGCGGGAUAGCAAGUCAGAUGUGAAAUCCUAUGGCUUAACCAUAGAACUGCAUUUGAAACUGGUAUUCUAGAGUAUGGGAGAGGUAAGUGGAAUUCGUGGUGUAGGGGUAAAGUCCGUAGAGAUCAAGAGGAAUACUCAUUGCGAAGGCGACCUGAUAGAACAUAACUGACGCUGAUGCGCGAAAGCGUGGGGAGCAAACAGGAUGAGAUAACCGGGUAGUC
rnacentral:rRNA from 1 species